AUGUCUCUUCACCGGAGCAGAGUAUCAAAAAGGAACAUAAUUUGAUACUAUGCAAAACCUUGAACUGUUUGUGGAAGUAACA
rnacentral:miRNA from 1 species